AAUUCUUCUCAUUUGUUUUCCCUCAUACUUAUUCAUAACUUGUAAGUUGAAUGUAUUUAUUUAUUUAUUUUUAAUACAGAAGGAGAGUCUCCAUGAGCCAUACAGGUCUAGAAAUAAUAAAAGUCCAUCAGAUCUUGAUGCUGAUGAUGAAGAUAACCAGGACUAUGAUAGCACUGUCAAUCAGUCUGACUCUACUGUUAGUUUGGUUCAGGAUGAUGCUAACCGAAGUAUUCAGAAAAUAUCAUCUAGUGUCAAUGGUCGACCAGAGACACCCUGUAGUGAAAGUUCUGAAGAGCUACUGGAACGAGCACGAGAAGAAAAUCACAGACUUUUAGAGGUGGUCAAGGAAAAAGAUGCUAGGAUUCUUUUUCUGGAACAAAAAGUCAAUGCCUUGAGUUGUGAAUUGUCAGCUACUCAAUUGGAAAAGAAGAGACUUGAAGAAAAAAACCACUCUUUACUUACUGGAUUGGCUAAUCUUAAGGUUAAAUGAGUAGGUGCAUUCUUUGUAUAGUUUGCUUUUACAGCAUAGAAAAGAAAACAGAAUUUCAGUUUAUUUUUGCAGCUUCCAAUACUUAUGGUUGCUUUUUACCACAGAACUUGCACUUUGCUCAUGUAAGCUAGUAUAUAUAUAUAUUUUUUUUUUUCCUUUAUAUUAUGAAGAACCUUCUAUCUCAGACUGGUAGUUUUUCUAUUAUUUUUAUUGUUUUGAAAAUCAGUUGGCUUUCUUUUAUAGCAGCUUUUCAGAAGAACGUUUCAUAUGGAAAAAUAAGUUGUGCCGAAUAUUCACAUUAAUCAUCUUUUUUUUUCAUACUAGACAAUCCUUCAAAGACAAAUAAAGCUGUGCUGUGAUUAUUAAAAUAGAACAACAAAUUCCAAGUUUGUUUUACUACUGUAAAGGAGAAGUUUGAACUUUCCUGGCCUGAAGCAUUCCAUGUUAAAGUUUUAAACUAAUAUUGCUCUUCUGCCUCAAAUCAAAUCAAAAUAUUUAAGUAUCUAAUUUUUGAAAGUUUUGUACAUAAAGAGCACUUACAUAAAACUAUAUUAAGAUUAUUAAUUGGGGAAAAUUACCAAUCGGUCAUAAAGAAGUGGUAUUAGGUAGAGCUCACUUAUAACUUAUGUUAAGGGAUAACUAAAUUAACGACACACACAUCAGUGAGAAAUGUUUAUAUUGGUACGUACCACCAAAAAAUGUUAAUUUGUUUUUUAGAAAUACAAAAGAUUGAUGGAAACUUCAUGAUAAGUUUGUCAAAAAAUUAUGAUAACCUUGUGUUUAACAGAGCUAAAAAAAAAGAGCAAGCUACAAAAAAGUAUGUGAACAACUAUUUAUUUCAUUGAUUCUAUAGUAGGUUUUAUUGAGUUCUAACUUUACAGUAACAAUUUAUAUCUAUUUUCAAAUAUUUAUUUGUUGCAGCUUGAAAUCAGUUUCUUUACUGUAAUUAAUGCUACAUAACUAAACAAUUGUGUAUUUUAUUAUGAAUGCAACAUUCCAUUUAAGAAUUAUAGAAACGUGUAUUUUGCCAUUAAUCAUGUAAUUAAUGCUACAUAACUAAACAAUUGUGUAUUUUAUUAUGAAUGCAACAUUCCAUUUAAGAAUUAUAGAAACGUGUAUUUUGCCAUUAAUCAUGUAAUUAAUGCUACAUAACUAAACAAUUGUGUAUUUUAUUAUGAAUGCAACAUUCCAUUUAAGAAUUAUAGAAACGUGUAUUUUGCCAUUAAUCAUAUUCAGGUUUAUAAUGCCUAAACGGCAAAGCAUGACCCCCUUUUCAGGCUAAUAAGUGUGAUAAGGCAUAACAGUAAAAUUAAUAGAAACAUACUUUGAUAAUUUAUUGAUCCAAUGUAAUAAUAAUGAAAAUGUGUAAUAGUAUUUCAACACAUUUAUUCUGCAUUACUGCUUUAUAUUCUGUGUUUGUUUAUUUAUUGCUAUAAAUAAGCUUUACAUUUUUAAUGCCUGAUGAAGCAUCUGUUUAGAUUUCUUUUUAAAGAAAAAUUAUAUUAUUCAGAGUUAUUUUUGGGUUCUUCUGAAGCUGUGUAUAAAAAUAUUUUACUCAGUUACUUGAUCGAAUGGAUGAAGAUUCCUCUGUAAAAUGCGUGUGAAUUUGGUCUACUUAUUUUAAGCAAUUUUUGCUAAUUUGAAAUCAUUUAUUUUAUAUAACAAUAGUUUUUAAAUUAAAAACUUUAUGUAAUUAUAUUACAUAAGAUUUUCUAGUCUGAACAUAACUGUUAGUGAACAAGAUUAGGGUUAAUGGUGUAAAUAAAUUAGUUAUUUUCAUCAUGGGAAAUUUAUUGGAAAAAAAUGCAUUUAUUUCUGAAGAAAAAUAAGUCAGCAUAAUUUUCCAAAGCCAAUUCUUAGUGUAAGUGUACUUAAUCUUACUUCAUUAUCUGAAUGCCUCUAAUAAUAGAACAUGGCAUACUAUUUUUAGAAUUAAUAGCCUGUCAAAAUUUAGAAAGCUUUUUUUUUCUCACAUAAUUAGUCCCCCAGCGGGUCAAUGGUAAGUUUACAGACUUUACAAAGCUAAAAUCUGGUGGACAGAGUAGUGAUAGCCAUUGGGUAGCUUUGUACUGAAAAAGAACAAUAAUGGUUGAACUUAUAGGAUGAUUAUUAUCUGUCAGUUUGGUUUUAUACAAGUAGUUAACGAUGAUGAGAAGAUACUAGGCAACCAACAUUCAAGGUCGUGGCUUCUUGUCUUUUUUUGUCAUAAAAGAAGCUAAAUCUUACAUUUUGUAAGUGAAGUUCUCAUAUUAGUAAGAAAAUAAUGUGUUAUUGUAAACAAGCAGAGUGUAACUCGACUAAUAUUUUUUUUCUUGUCGAAGAUGUAUACACAAAAUUUGGAAAUGUAUUUCAUCAUCUUUGAAAAUAUUUUCUUUAAAAAAUGCAUUAUUUAAAAUCAUUUCCAAAAAGUAAAUAUGAAUGUUUUUUCUAUCUUUUUAUUUUACUUGUAAGUUAUUUUUGAGUCAAAUUAGAUCAACAGAAGUGUUUCUUGUUUUGAUUAUUGAAUUUAAUUAUUUUCUUACUAUAUGUUCACAGAAAUAUCCUGGCAUUUAGCAAGGGCAUGUAAAGCCCCUAAAAAACCAUGUGUUAUUAUAGUGUAAGGGGUUAAUAUCCAUUUACAUUACAUAUAAUUGUACUUCUUACAAGAUAGCUAUUCAUAGUCAGUAAAUUACCAUAACACGAAUUGUAACCUGGUGUUUAGAAUUUUAAAGGCAUGUUAAGAAAAGAAAAACAUUUUGAAUGACCCAAAAAUAAGAUAACUGAUCAUUGUUAGUUUUUUUUUUAAAUCUUAUUAUUGCCUAGUUAAAGAAUUUACUUUUUAUGUAAAAAGCUUUGAAUUAAUUGUUUAUCCCAUAGUGUUUCUGGUCUCUGUACUGCUGUCAAUCUGUUUUUUUUUAUUUUUAAGUUGAAAUUGAAUUUUUUUUCUGUAUGUGUCAAAAUUAUAUAUAAGGCAACUAUUGGUGUGGUAAAGAACUAAAUGAAAGAUACCGAACACUAACUUGAAAGCCCUGUUUUCAUUAUGCAUCCAUAUAUAUUUGUUUAGGAAUCCUCUUAAAAAGAUUAAUAUAGUUUUUCAUUUAUGUAUAGUAGUUGAUUUCAAGAAUUGCAGUCGUAAACAAAAUUAUUUUAAAAAUUGGCCAUGAAAAUAUUAAUAAUUUUACAUGGCAUUUUAGAUCUUUUUGAAGAAGAAAUAGCAGCUCAAAUCCAAAAAUUUCAGCAUGAGCUUAUAAAAGAACAAACUUACCUAACAAACUAAAAAAAAAUGUUUGUAAAUAAUUAUAUGUACAUAACUAGUUUCAAAGUUAAAAACAACCAGGCAUUUUAAACAGUGAGACAUAGCUCUGAUAAAACCUAAAUUGAUGUCUUCCUAUGAUUACAUGGGAUUUCCUUAUUUUUUUUAGUAAUAGCUAAGAAAACUUGUCAUUAGAGCUUAAACACCAGUUGUAUUCUAAAUGUACCAUUUAUUACACCAAACAUUUUUGAGUUUUGGUAAAAUUGAAAAGGAAACAAAAAGUGUUUUCUAUGAUAGAAUUUGUAAUCAGCUUUCCAUGCAUUGGAUAUUUAAAAAAAAUGCCUUGAGUUGCUUUUAUCUUAAAUUUAGGUUGUGAAGAUGUUUUGGUAACUUCAUAUAUAUUUCAGUUUAAUAGUCCAUAAAGCAUUACUAUCAUAGAAUCUUAGUAAAUAAAAAAAACUUAGAAUGUACAUCUACAAAACGUUAUGUACUUUUUUCAUCUAAAAAAACUAGCAGGAAUUAAUAGUUUAAGAUAAUACCAGAAAUACAUGAAAUGGAUUUUAGUAUUUAUUACCAAACUGUAUCUAAUAGAAAAUAUAGGUAAGUGGGUGGUAUGUUUUUGUUUAAGAUUAUUUUUGUCUCUAAUUAUGCUAUAUGCACGUCCAUAAAUAUUUUUAUGUUGUUAGAGCUCACAAAGAAACAAUAUAAUCCUAUUAGUCUCUUUAAUGCUUUAGAAAGAUGAGUCAAAGCAUGCAAGUUAAUAUUGUAAAGUUUUUCUUUUUAACUGUGAGUUAUUUAUUUUAACAUAUAUCUGUUAAUAAUGAUUGAUGUAUACUGUGUUUGCACUAUCAUGGUAUUUAAGCAAAGAAUGUGGUUUUAUUGCAGCUGUCAAAGCUAGCUUUAAAAUGAAAAACAUUAGGCCUAUUACAUCUGAUCAGUCACAUUUUAUUGAAGAUAAUUUUUGACAUUGUUUCUGUAAACGAUUGAUUAAGAGGAAUAUGUCAGUAAAAAAUUAUUAAGAAUAAUGAUCAUUAUUACUGUGCAACUUCAGCAUUUCCCACUACAAUGCUAAGUUUCUUGCACUACAUAUAAAUAUAAAUUCAAAUAUUCUUUGGGGUACCUGUACAUCCAAUUAAGUUAAAAACCUUCUGGGCAGUGACUUGUUUCAAACAAAAGAUAGAUAUUAAAUGCUAUUUUGAGAUACCUCCAAUUUGGAAUCUACAAGAGACUAAUUAUAAAAGGACAAGUCAACAUGAUUUUAAUUUUAAACAGAUUAUACAUGUGUGUGUGUUGUGGAAACAUCAGUGAUUCAUGUGGCAUGUAGUUUACUGAUAUUAUUUAAUAGUUGGUUCAGAUAAAAGUUAUCAGAUUGAAAUUAAAAAUUUUAGUAAAAUGGAAAAAAACUGUAGUAAAAUAAAUUGGUACAGUUUUUUCCUUCUUAUUCUUUCAUCUUCUAUGAGGUAUGAUUGCUUCUUCCCCUCAAAAAACUUAUAGAAAUGUUAAAAUUUUAAUUUCAAAACAAUGAUAAUAAGUAUCAUUUCUUACUGUAAUAUUAAAAACAAAACCUUAGUUGUUGAAUAGUGAGAUAAAUUAGAGCUGAUGUAGUAUUUUUACAAAAAAAGAGCUAAAAACUAUGAAAAAAUUUGCUCAACAAGUGCAUAUCUUGUUAUCAUAAUAGAGGCAAAAUUUGGUUGUUUAUAAAGAAUAAUAAUUUUGCUCCUAAACAUAUUUCCUACAAUGUGAAGCUGUGAGAAAGAAAUGUGAUUAAUGUAGUUUGAAAGUUAGUUUGAUAUAUUUUUUGACAAAAGCCUAAAAAGUGUUCAGGAAUAUAACUAAAUUCACUAGAUAUUGUACAGAAAUGUUGGCUCUUGUAUUUGGUGGAUUGUAUAUUUGAGUAUCAAAAAUGCAUUUGUUAUCGAGGACACAUUUAUUUCAUUCUUUCUCCAUCCAUUCCAUUGUAGUAUUUUGUGUUUGUUUAAGAAAGUGUGAAUGUGGGAACAUAAAAGAAAAUGUUACAUAUUUCAAACUGUUAAAUGAAUGAAUUAGAUAUAAUUUACAAAAUUGUUUGUUGCCUACUUUUACUAUCUCAUAUUUUGGGAUUUUUUUAACAAAUUAUAAUCAUAGCCAAAUCAUGCAGUUAGUUAUUUCUUUAUUAUGUUGUCUGGUAUUAUGCCUUCCAUUCACACUAAUUGUAAUUGUUCCAUGGCUCAUAACUGUAAGCUUAAGGAGUAGCAUUUCUAAGUAAAUAUUCUACUAUUAGUUUAUCAUAUGUAUUCCAUGAUAUAACAAUAUUAGAGGGCUUGUGUACUUGAUCUAAAAUCUUGCUAGAAAAUGUCAAUUUUGAAAGUGUUCAAUAAUGAGCUUUUCCCAAUAAUGUAAAAACAGAAAAAGAAGGUUCAGUAAUUCAAAGUUUACUAAUAUUUUGUGGAAAAAAUUAUGUAUGCUUUUAUGAACUUUUGGUUUUUGUUUAAUAUGAUAUAUGUAAGAAGUCACAUUGGAUAUGAUUGUUUUGACUUAAAGGCAAUUGCUUAUAAUUAGCAUUUAAAUUGUUUUUUUUUGCAUCAACCAAAACAUCUAGUCACAAAAUAUUUUCAGUUGCUAUUAAGACUGUUGUAUUAUGAAAUUUGUUGGAAGUUCAGAGUGUUUUAAUUUUAUGAGUAUGUGUAUUUUAGUUUUUUAACUUUGAAUUUCAAAACUUUACAGCAGAAAAAGAAGAAUUUUUAAAAGUUUGCUUUUUUCCUUUUCUAUGCAUGCUAAGUUACAUUUUUACAACAUAUUGUAAUUUUUUUUUAUAUAUUUUCAUUUGUUGCACUACAAAUUUUAGUAGAUACAGCUACAGUUUUUUAAACUGAAGAAUAUAGGAAUUUUUUUAUGGCCAUUGUACUUAUUUCUCAGUUUUAAUUUAUGUAAUUGUGCAUUAAUAAAAUUACAAACCUCAACUAUGAAUCUAAUUUUUAUGAAUAUUAUGAUUUAAGAGGCUCUUUAUGCCUGUGGUUGUUUUUUAUGUAUGUGUAAACAUUUACAUAUAUGCUUAUAUUUAUGUUUUAUGUAACUUUUGGUAUUGUAUACCUGUUUGUUUUGUAUUGAUCUUCAUUGCUUGGAGCUUUUAAAGGUUUAGUUUAAAAAUUAAAUAAAUCAUCCAGCAGCA